AUAAAGCUAAAACCAUCUUCCAUCACUGGCCUGAUUCAGACAGGAUGCGUCAGCGAGCAGGAACCAAUCAACGAGGCGAUAUAUUUUCUAAACAUCAGUAGUGGCGUUAUGGCUGUCCUUUUGACGCGACUCGUGGUUGUGGAUUCAACGCUGUAAUCUAUCAACUGUACAUAUUUAGAAGCAAAAAAUUUGUAUGGAAAACAUUUCACUCAGCAAGUGUUUUAUCGUAUUAAUAUGUGUUAUGAUAGGUCUUUGGCUCAUACGUCGCUGCAAAUAAUAGAAGCUUAAUUGCAUGAGCGUGUUCAUAUUACAUGGUUUUAUCAAAUACAGAAGCUCCAAGGAAUAACGAUUGUCUUUGUGUGCGAGAUUCAUAGAUGAAAAUUUAUGCACUAUUCUCCAGUUAAUCAGUUCUAUCAGCUAAAACAAAUUAGGUUUGUUAGAUUAAAUAAAACUAAAAUUGUUGAAAACAAAAACACACACACUUGUUUUAGAAUUAGAAAAGAAUCAUUCUUAAAUGUGUCUUUUUCAUUAAAUUCUUAAUUUUAAUUAAAUUACAUUCUAAACUUUUGAG